rnacentral:rRNA from 1 species
UACGUAGGUCCCGAGCGUUGUCCGGAUUUAUUGGGUGUAAAGGGCGUGUAGCCGGGCUGACAAGUCAGAUGUGAAAUCCGGGGGCUCAACCCCCGAACUGCAUUUGAAACUGUUGGUCUUGAGUAUCGGAGAGGCAGGCGGAAUUCCUAGUGUAGCGGUGAAAUGCGUAGAUAUUAGGAGGAACACCAGUGGCGAAGGCGGCUUACUGGACUGUAACUGACGUUGAGGCUCGAAAGCGUGGGGAGCAAACAGG